rnacentral:lncRNA from 1 species
AUGGGCAUCCUGCAUGCACGGAGGCAGCCAGCUGUCCGAAAAUCCCAAGAGAGGGAUUCUUUCUUCCCCAAAGUGGUUGUUGUUGAUAUAAUAAUAAUAAUUAGGUAUUGGACCCCCACCCAGGAAAGCCAGGCACUGCCUCAGCCCUUAUCGGGCAGCAGCGGACCCGGCGCAGCGCCGUGCUGGCAGCAUGUCCCUGCCAGUGGCAUUAUGUUCCCUUUGAGAAAAAAAAAAAGCAGGAGAAUUCCCUUGCCAAAUAUUGUUCUGGUAACCGUAACUCUGGGUCUUGCCAGGUUACAGAGCUCCUGUUAUGGAGCUCCUCCAGGCUGCAACCAGUGCUAUUGUUAUUGUGAAGCACCUCUGCGCUGUUCGGCCUUUGAAGAUCCAUCCUGGAAAAGCAUCUUCUCGAAUAUCCUCGAGGCAGCGAUAGCGCUUCUGCCCGCUCCCGAGUCUAUCGAAGCGUAACGCAGGAUCCCCACCGACCGCUUUUGCAUACAAUCCUGCCAGGGCCGCCUGCCCGCACCGCUCGGGAGCAGGAACCUUCGGGGCGGCUGGGGCAGGAGCUGUCCCUUUGGCGAGCGGGGCAGCGCGGCUGUCCUGCCCGACGUGCCAUCCCCUUGCGCUUUGAUGUCCGCUGCCUUUGAGCCAUCUCUGCAUGUCAUUAGGGGCCCGGACAAUUAAAGAAGUGCCUUUGCACCCCACCCCCCCACUCCUUCCUCCCGCCCCGUCCCCGCAGCGGAGGGGAAGUCGGAAAAAAAUAAAUACAUUGACCAACAAGGCGAGCCGAUGCGG